UAGAAAGUUUGCCAGACUCUGCCGUCGCCGACUGUUGAAGGCUCUACCAGCAUUGUCGAAGGUUCUGAGAACACUUCUCGCUGGAAAGAGAAGCAAAUCUGCAACCCAAAGGUGUUGUUUAGGGCUAGAAUUGACUGAAGAAAAGUUUCUGAGCAUAUGAUUGUAUUGGUUUUCUAUACAAGGAAUAUAUCUUUGGAUUUCCUGAAGCAAAGACCAUAAUUCAGUGGCUUGCAGCUUCUCAGCAAUCUUGAAUGGUGGAGGAGCACUGGGGUCUUAUAUAACUAGGCAUACACCAGUUAUAUUCUCUCCAUUCUCAACAUUUUAAUUUUGAUUAAUUUGGGUUGUAUGACACAAUUGUCUAUUUUUUAUCAAAUUUGUACGGUUGUUGUUUCUUCUAUGUAUAAUUAUUUUAUCCAAUGUGGCUUUAGUAAUACCUUAUUGUCUAUUAUUCAUCAAAUUUGUCCUGUUGUUGUUUCUUCUAUGUAUGAUUGUUUUAUCCAAUGUGGCUUUAGUAAUACUCCAUAUCUGAGACUGCAAUUAAUCAUUGUAUUAUGAUUUUACUUUUGAACUAAUUUUGAAAU